rnacentral:rRNA from 1 species
UACGUAGGGGGCAAGCGUUGUCCGGAUUUAUUGGGCGUAAAGAGCGUGUAGGCGGCCAUACAGGUCCGUUGUGAAAACUCGAGGCUCAACCUCGAGACGUCGAUGGAAACCGUAUGGCUAGAGUCCGGAAGAGGCGAGUGGAAUUCCUGGUGUAGCGGUGGAAUGCGCAGAUAUCAGGAGGAACACCGAUAGCGAAGGCAGCUCGCUGGGACGGUACUGACGCUGAGGUGCGAAAGCGUGGGGAGCGAACAGG